CUAAUAAGAAUUAUGGCGGCCGUGACUUGGCGUGCUAGGAAAAGAUGUUUUGAAGUUCUUCAACAAAGCAGCCUUCGCUUAAUCCAAACAAAUGCCUCAUUAAAAUGCUCAGGAGAUUUAAAAUGCUCUCAUCUGCGAAAGAGAGGACUGUUGAAAGUGAGGGGAAGAGAUUCCGUAAAGUUUCUGCAGGGACUCAUCACAAACAAUGUGGAGUCUUUCCACAAGAAUGUAGAACGAAAAGCGAUGUACGGUGUGUUUUUGAACGCCAAUGGUCGCACAUUAUACGACACUGUUCUCUAUAAACACGAUAGAAGUGGCGACGUACCUGCAUUCUUUCUUGAGUGUGAUGUUAGUGUGAUUCCAGACCUUACAAAACAUUUGAAGAUGUUCAAACUACGCUCGAAAGUCGACAUCAUUCAUGCAGAAGAUUACGCGCCGUGGGUGAUAUUUUCAAUGUCAGGGACUAUUGACCUCAAAGAUGUGUCGAGUAACUCGGAUAUUAAAGUGCUGGUGAAGGAUCCUAGAGUUGAGCAGCUAGGAUUUCGUGCAGUGUUGCCUAAGGGCUUAAGUCCAUGUGUUUGUCUUGAAGAUGUCUACGAGACAGGAGAUAGCUUUGAAUAUGACGUACUGAGAGCUAAACUGGGAAUUUGCGAGGGAGUGGAUGAAAUACCGCCGGGAAAUGCAAUGCCCUUGGAAUACAACAUUGCAUAUCUUAAUGGAGUUUCUUUCAAUAAAGGCUGUUAUCUUGGACAAGAACUUACAGCUAGGACUCAUCACACUGGAGUCAUUAGGAAGCGAACGGUUCCAUUUAAAUUUAUUGACCCCAAAGCAGAUGCAAGCCACUUUGAGUCAGGAGCAAGAGUUAGGACCUCUGAUGGGAAAGCAGCUGGCAAGGUUUGCAUGAUAUAUGGACAGUAUGGGGUGGGGCUGUUGAGACUGGAACUGAUAAAGAAGGAAGAGGCACUCCUUAUAAAGAAUAAAGAGGACAAGGAUAUGGAAGUUAUUGCAUCAUUGCCACAUUGGUGGCCUGAAGAUAGUCAUGGCUUUGUGUGAAAUGCUCUGAGUGAUAAAGAUGCUGGUAGGAAUUUUAAUCAGAUCCAUUUAGCCAAGAAUGAUGAGCUGUUACAUAACUUAAUUGACUAGCUGUACUUUAUCAAAAUCUUGUGUCACUAGUAAUGAACUUUUGUCUGAGUAUUUUUGUCAUUGCUUUUAUGAAAGUCUUUAAGAGGUAGGAACUCUUGAAUCAUGUAGAAAGUGAUUUUGCACAUCAGUGAUUCUUUCAUGAGCACACCUUUGAUUUAGCCACUUCAACUGCAGAACUCAAGCACUUUGGGAAAGGAGUCCGAUCUACAAUUUUACAAAUUUCUCUUUAUGUGACAGAUUACCACAAGAAUAAAAGAACUGUUCAUUUUAAAGGUGGACAACAUUUUCAAACCUGUUGUGAUAAUCUUGUAUGUGUAUCACGUGACACUUAAUUAAUUAAGCUAGGGAUUUGAUGACAGUUGGGUUACUUAAGAUUUAAGUGUAUAAUUGAACUCAGCAGUAAAGGCAGACUUGUAGUAAGAAUGUUCCUGAUAUAGAAAAUCAAUAAUAGUCUGCUGAAACAAUUAGAUAAGGAAUUGCCCAGGGAAAUUGUGCAUGCACAUUUGGGUUGGAACAUCCUGUGACAUUGUAUGCAUGCAGGUGUAAGCUGUUAAAAUCAAGUUGACAGGAAAUAGCUUGGGAUUUAGUAAAUUCUUGAAUAAGUAAUAUCAAUCUUGGAUUUACAUAGUUUAGGCAUGUGUUUUCAUUGUAAUAGGAGAUAAAUAGAAUUGUUAUCUCGUAACAGAAGAGACUUGAGAUCAUUUGAAUGUAGAAAGUUCGGAUAUUGUAUGGAUUGUAAAUAACUCAAGAAAUCGGAAAGAUAAGUCCUAUUGAUUGUUGAACCAGCGCUCUGCAGAGAUUUUCCUUAACGCAAUGGAGAAUUCUGCAACAAAACUGGAGCUGCUGUGCUUGUCAGAUAAGUACCAUUGAAACUCCUCCCCAGUUCCUGUAUUCAUCGGUUGCAUUUGUAUCAGGAUGGGUAUAGGGCUGCAUCACCCCUAUCUUUCAUAUUGUGUAUUGGGAAACAAACUGAAAAUAAUGCAAGUAUAACCUGUUCUUUCCCAAGAUCUAAUCAGUAAUUCUCCUUACUGUCUGUCAUACAACUCUCUUGAUGUUAAUUUAGAGAAUUUGGUAUUGGAUCAACCAAUAUUUCCCUUGUUGAUUUUUUUCUUUAUUCUCAUCACUUGUCUGCUUGAUACUGUAUUGAUGCUGUAAGGGGAAAUUCGAUCUUGGUCACUUAUAGGAGUUAGAGGGAUUCUUAAAAAUCAUUUUCAGGGUGUGAAAUUGUUCCUAAUACAGGCGCCAAUGCGACUACAUUUUUCACUUUGGCGACCAAAUUCUGGAAAUGAGUCGCCAAAUUGGCAACUGGAAUGUUUCAUCAUAACCUUACCAAGAGAUAUAGCAAAUUAAAAAUAUUUGCAAAGGCAAAUUCACAGCAAACUUCCUUGUUAUGUUUGUUUCCAAAAUGCAGCAGAUGCAUCUUGAUCGAUAACUUGAUGCCAUCAUGGAUUUAGGUGAGCUUGAAAGUUGUAUAUCAUCCAUCCUAGUGUCUACUUGCUGACAGCGUAAAAAAAGUUUUGUUUGUCUAAUUAUUGACUAUACUUUGUACUUAGAUAAUUAUUGAUGAUUCUUUUGAACUCUUAUCUGACAGUUUGAUUCACCUAUUUAGGCACUAGAAGGGGGAGGAUGUUGGAAUGGAAUGUCGGGUUUUCUCCAGUUUGCAUCUGAUAACAAAUCUGAAAGUUUUCUGCCUCAGAAUGAAAAUUCCUCCAAUCACAUUUCAUGCGACUGCAAGUUUUUUGACAGAUUGAAGCUAAAGAUACGCAGCAACAAAUUCCACAAGUUUUCUUUUGUCAGAAAAGCCCUGGAUUAUUUUCAUCUGUGUAAUGAAUGCCCAUGCAUAUUAUCAAAUACCACCAUUAGACUCUGACUAUUCAUGGUAUGUAUCACCUCUGUGUUAGAAUAAUUACGACCAUGUGCAUUAAGGUUGAUCAACUAUUGCAUUAAAACAGUUAAUGGUUUCUGCUUGUUAUAAUGUGAAUGUCUGUCUACUAAACCAUUCAUUUCAAUCUGCUUCAGAUCAGUUGAGGCAAUUCACAGUAUUAGAUCUGUGUCUGAACUUGAUAAAUUCUUCACUUGGAAGGUGAUAUUUAAAGCAAUGAUGCUUGGUACAAACUGUAA